rnacentral:rRNA from 1 species
AUUGAACGCUGGCGGCAGGCUUAACACAUGCAAGUCGAGCGGGGUGAUGGUGCUUGCACUAUCACUUAGCGGCGGACGGGUGAGUAAUGCUUAGGAAUCUGCCUAUUAGUGGGGGACAACAUCUCGAAAGGGAUGCUAAUACCGCAUACGUCCUACGGGAGAAAGCAGGGGAUCACUUGUGACCUUGCGCUAAUAGAUGAGCCCAAGUCGGAUUAGCUAGUUGGUGGGGUAAAGGCCUACCAAGGCGACGAUCUGUAGCGGGUCUGAGAGGAUGAGCCGCAGCACUGAGACGGAGACACGGCCCAGACUCCUACGGGAGGCAGCAGUGGGGAAUAUUGGAAAAUGGGGGGAACCCUGAUCCAGCCAUGCCGCGUGUGUGAAGAAGGCCUUAUGGUUGUAAAGCACUUUAAGCGAGGAGGAGGCUCUUUUGGUUAAUACCCAAGAUGAGUGGACGUUACUCGCAGAAUAAGCACCGGCUAACUCUGUGCCAGCCGCCGCCGUAA